rnacentral:lncRNA from 1 species
UAUGUGCACAAUCACCAGGUAUUUUCUGUUUGUGGUUUAGUUAAAAACAAUUUGUUUCGUCAAAUGUGAUACAAAAAUGAAUGUUUAGUUAAAAGCUACCCAUUGAUUCUUAUCAUGUUUCUAGGCGUAUCUUGAUCUGAAUGUUUUUUCCUUGUUCAGGUUCCUUUUUGUCACCCAGGCAUAGAAUUUGAAGAUGAAGAUUCAUCGGAAGAGGAAUCUGAAUCUGAAGAUUCAUCGGAAGAGCAAAACGAAAACAUAACAGCUGAGACCUCGCAUGAUGAAGGUACCAGCAAAGCCAAUGCUUCAUCAAAGACUUGAAAGAAGUUGAUGCUAUGAUAGAUGAGGAUGUCAUUGCUUCUAUCAACAGAGUUUUAUCAGAAGGGAUUACCAUUUCCGUAAAAUCUCAGCAUUCUGUCCAAGAACAAGAAGUCUCAAAACUGUAUCCCAACCUCCCUGAGAAACUUCUUCAGGAAUUGUGGGAUAUUGUCUUUGAAUGAGACUUGGUUGAAAAAUUAUUUGAAGGUCUCUUUACUAAAGACAACUUCAAUGCAGUCAAGGAAAAAUUUGACGCUAAUGCUGACUUGUUUUCCUCUAACCAACUAGAACAAGUCAGUGUCUUUGUUGACCUUGUCAACAACAUUGUGAGAAUGUCAGAGAAAUGCAAAAUUUUGACAAAGGAGCUAGACUCAGCCAAGAAGAGCACCCGUCAAGAUAAUAAAGCAUUGAAAGAAACAAGACAAAAAAUAUUGAUCUCAAGGACUUUCUUCACAAACCAUCAAAACCAACUCAACUUUCUUGAUGCUCAGAUUGCUGAUCUUAAUAAUGCCAAGCUUGAAAAACUACAAGUUGAGAGGGCCAAAGUUACUGAGGGUCAAGAUAAAGAGAAAGAUAAGAUCGCAUCUUUAAACAAAGAAGUUAAAUCAAUUUUCCAUCGCCUCGCUGAUGAUCAAAUCAAAUUGAAAAGUGUUGAAGAUCAACUUCGGGAAGUUGUAAUUGAAUUGGAAGGUCAUAUGAAGCUCUAUCGAAUCUUCCAGGCAGUUCCUCCAUUUUGAUAUUGCUUUGCCUUUUUCGCCACAACAUUUUACUUCGACGCCAAUUUAGCCUUCUAGCUUUCAAUUUUAAUAUUAUGAAUACUUGGC